UACGAAGGGGGCUAGCGUUGCUCGGAAUCACUGGGCGUAAAGCGCACGUAGGCGGCUUUCUAAGUCAGGGGUGAAAUCCUGGAGCUCAACUCCAGAACUGCCUUUGAUACUGGAGAGCUCGAGUCCGGGAGAGGUGAGUGGAACUGCGAGUGUAGAGGUGAAAUUCGUAGAUAUUAGGAAGAACACCAGUGGCGAAGGCGGCUCACUGGCCCGGUACUGACGCUGAGGCGCGAAGGCGUGGGGAGCAAACAGG
rnacentral:rRNA from 1 species